rnacentral:lncRNA from 1 species
AGAGGGACUGGAGGAAAGUAUCCAUGAUUGUUCUUUUGGUGACACCAGCAAUAGCAAAGAUAUGGAUUAUUACUCCUGUCCUCGUACCAAAGCAUAAAUGGGUGGGAUCGAUCAAAGUAAAGGUCUUUUUUUACUCUUGGAUGAAUUGUCAAAAUUGAAUGUGGUGUCCGUGAAGCACACUGAAAUCAGCGCACACACUUUCUACUGUUUCCCCGGCAAGCAUUAAUUGGGAUUGGGAACAACCACGUUAAUAGUAGCUGUGGUCGCUGAAGGCGUGUUUCUGGUCGUGUUCACAUCUAUAUGUAGUAAUUAUUGCCCCCAUGCAGGUAUUAAAAGAGGUUCUCCAGGGUUGUCUUCUCCUAUCACUGCCGCUCAUUUAUGCCUGAUACUAUUUGAGCUUUUUAACAUUCAAAUCUGCAGGCUGCCUUUGACUUUUAAUUUUCCUGGUCAGUUACAAAUGUAAAUUUUAACAUAGAAUAAUAACUAAAAAGAAAAAUGUAAUAGCAGUACUGUCGGCUUUCAAAAUGUAAAGUCUGUUGAUUGAAGUUCCAGUGGCCACACCUGCAAUCAAGUCUCAAGUCUUGAGUCUCAUCGACACAUCUCUACUCUUCCAAAUAUUUAGAACGAUAAUAAGUUUGGAGGGUCUAAGGGCAAAACCUAAAUUACAGGAUGCUAAAUGAUUGUACUAUACAAUUAAUACUGUAGAUCUGGAAUAGCAACCUAAGAUGGUUAUUCAUAUAUUUCUCAACUUGAAAAUGAUAUAUGAAUAAAAUCAUGGCCACUCAGCAGGCCCCGAAGUCCCGUAACGACAGCCGGCCCUUGUCCGGCAAGUUCCCGGCGUGUCGAAGGCCCAAGGUAAGGGAGACAUCACCAGCGGGUGUCCCUAG